rnacentral:rRNA from 1 species
AGAGUUUGAUCAUGGCUCAGGAUGAACGCUAGCGGCAGGCUUAAUACAUGCAAGUUGAGGGGCAGCAUGAUAUACGCGAGUAUAUUGAUGGCGACCGGCGGACGGGUGAGUAAAAGGUAGGAGACCUACCUCAUACAGGGGGAUAGCAUAGAGAAAUCUGUGGUAAUACCCCAUGAGGUUAUAUGAAUAGAGGCAUAUAAUCAAAGUAUACGAGAGUAUGCGGUAUGAGAUGGGCCUACUGACCAUUAGCUAGUUGGUGAGGUAAGGGCUCACCAAGGCGAAGAUGGUUAGGGGUUUUGAGAGAGAGAUCCCCCACAUUGGAACUGAGAUACGGUCCAGACUCCUACGGGAGGCAGCAGUAGGGAAUAUUGGGCAAUGGGCGGAAGCCUGACCCAGCCAUGCCGCGUGAAGGAAGACGGCCUUAUGGGUUGUAAACUUCUUUACUAUACGAAUAGAGGUUAGUACGAGAUACUAAUAGGAAGGUAGUAUAGCAAAAAGCACCGGCUAACUCCGUGCCAGCAGCCGCGGUAAUACGGAGGGUGCAAGCGUUAUUCGGAAUUACUGGGUUUAAAGGGUGCGUAGGCGGUUAUAUAAGUUGUCAGUGAAAGGCUACGGCUCAACUGUAGUAGUGCUGGCGAUACUGUAUAGCUAAGAACAUGGGAGGGGUACCUGGAAUGUGUGGUGUAGCGGUGAAAUGCAUAGAUAUCACACAGAACACCGGAGGCGAAGGCGGGGUACUAGACCAUAGUUGACGCUGAGGCACGAAAGCGUGGGGAGCAAACAGGAUUAGAUACCCUGGUAGUCCACGCCCUAAACGAUGAUCACUAGAUAUUGGCGACAGACAGUCAGUGUCCAAGCGAAAGUGAUAAGUGAUCCACCUGGGGAAUACGGCCGCAAGGUUAAAACUCAAAUGAAUUGAC